ACACAGAAAGCCCUGAGGACUGAAACCCUGCAUGGGUACAUUUUGAUGGGGCAGGAAGAAAAGUUCUGGAGUGUGGAGAGCAGAGGUCCAGAGCAUUCACUGAUUUAGCCACAGAAGAAACAGAUGCGGAAACCGGGGCACAGCAGGCGAAGUGAAACUUCCCAUGUUCCAGCAAAGCCCAGUCCAUAACGUGAGGCUUUGUGAGGUUUGUGUGUGCGACCUUCACCCCUUCACCUGGACCCUCUCUUUGUCCUCCUUUCGCACCCAGUGAUGUGUGGCCUGGAUCACUUCCCUGCCCUCAAGUCUUGCCCUGGCCUGACGUUCAGCGGACCCUCCGUGCAUUAAGGAUGGAGGAUGGUUCCUUGUGCUUCCUCUACCAGGUGCACUUGUAUCUGCUCGGAAUUCUGGAAGAGCAAAGACCCACUGGCCCCACUAAUCCAUCUAUUGAUCCUGCCCCGGUCAGCAGGCUGGGUCUAGCCUCCACACUGCCGCUGCUCAGGGUCUGUGGAGGAAGUCGCUGCAGCCAUUCAGCCAGAUGAAUCGCAAUUAAUAAAUGUGGAACGAAUGAGAGACGAAGACGAUGAGCACCAGAGGACUGCAGGGAGCACGGCUGAGGCAACAUCACCAGAGGAUAGUAAAAUUAGCAGACAGAGAUCUAAGCACAAACAGUGUCUCUGUGUAGCCUUAAAGCAUCUCUUUGAAUAUUUAAUGGUUACAAAGGAAAAACAGUGAGUUGAUGGGGGAGAACCCUGGCAGGCACCACCCUAACCAAGAGAUCAAAGUUGGCAUGACCAGGCACAAGGCACACUAACAGCCCACACCCACUGAUCUGGCCCACCGAAAAUGCACAUCACUUCUGUGGCAUUGCCACGGAAUUUCCAAAAAGGCAUUACCUCAGUCCAAUGCAGAGAAGGCGUCAGGCAGACCUAGGCGGAGAGACUGUCCAAGAGCGACAGACCCAUCCUCUUAAAAAGCCGGCCCUGACACAGAAAGGAGACAGAGAAAGGUGACAGCCAAAUGCACGUGGGAGCUGGGAACAGAGGAGGGCACUGGGAGGGGCCUGCCUGCCGUCCAGCUCUCGAGACCACGGCGAGAUUCAGAAGGGAAUUGGGCCAUUCCUUCUCCAAAGCAGAACGUACUGCAGCUGUGAGAGUUCUAGGAGAAAAUUCAGAUGAACUUUCAAAUCAGCUUCUCAAGUGUCAACAUCCUGUUGCGAUUUUCAUUGAUAUUGAACUGAAUUUAUAGAUUUUGUAAGCAGAAAAAAAUUAUUUUAAUUUUUUGAGAAAAAAAGUUUUAAAUGGUUUGUUUUCAGACUGUGUCAAGAUAUCCCUACCUCCGAAGUUGUCAGGUUUGCGGACCUUGGGGUGAAGCGUGGGGCUGCUGGAGGCGUCCAGCCCUGACUGUGUGUCCAGGACAAUGAGCCCCGAAGUGAGCGGGCCGCGUCCUGUUGGCGCAGCCAACUUCACGCCCUCUGUCCAGGGAGGACUAAGGGACAAGCUGCAGCAGGCGCAGAGGACGCUGUUGGUGUCCGGGAGGCCGCUGGUACAGGGCGUUGGGCGUGGCUCCUUUCCAAGUGCCUUGCACUUUCCAGGCUGGGCUGCAGAAGCAGGCUCGGGGGCGACUCGCGUGGGGACUGAAGCAGCCAGCCUUGGCACCUGCCCACAGCAAAUAACUGCCUUGACUUGAUCUGGUUUUUUUGAAGAAAGGUUUAUUCAUACCCAUUAUGUGCGCAUGUGUAAAUUCAAACCCACGGCUUGCCGGAGCCUGGGCUUUCUCGAACAUCAGUUGCUCCCAUGCUACCAUUUUGCAGUUUGCCCGUCUCCAGUAGAUGAUUUCUGAAUAUUUUAAUCAACUCAUUAUUAACCAUUCACACGUCUACCUUAGCCUCAUUUUAAGCAAUUGCACCUGUGGGUUUCACAGGCCUGCUGUAUUUUUAGUACAUAUUAAAUAAAGCAUGUCUGUUGGGGCGUGCUGUGCUUGCCCACC
rnacentral:lncRNA from 1 species